rnacentral:lncRNA from 1 species
AGGCCACUGGGCAUGCGGAAAGCCCACCCCAAGGGAAGAAUCAGGGAAGAAGGAACGCAAGACGGUGGAAGCAUGCCAACCUAUAAAACCGCAAGUCAGAGAUCAAACCGUGUACUUGAAUCUCUCAAGUUCCCGGCUUAACCCUCUUCCAAGAGCAUUUCGAAGCUGAUCUCAGACAAACGCAGCCCAUGGAAGAAUGCUAAGUGCUCGUGAUUGGUUAAAACUCAAAUAAAAAGUUGAAGUGGAGACGACAUAUACCUGUUCCAAAAUACAAUCCUCAUUUGAAAAUGGAAAAAGAAAAGAAAUGGAGGCAUUGUGUGAUAUUUGCCUAAAUAUAACUAAAGAGAUCCAUUUAUUUCUGGUGUUUGAUUAAAAACCCUCAAAGGAAAAGAGAAAUUUUGAUCUUUGACAAGAGCUGUUUCAUCACAGCAGGGAGCACGAAAUGAUGCCUCCAAGACUGGGAAUGGAGGGGAAGGGAGGUUCUAACAACUCUUCUCUCCUACUCGUGGGCCUCACCCAUGGUCAGGCUGUGUCUGCUUCUCCUGAAGAUGAUACAGAGGCCCCCCAUCUUGUGAGGACUCAUAUGUCCUCUGUGCAUACAUGUCCCAGGCCUGGCUGUGCAGGGAAACUCUGGUCAAGAUCCGCUGGUGAAGUUGUUUCCUGAGCCCUUUGAUCUGGAAUGACCUUGCAACCUGGAACCAGCAGACAGCCUGAGGGAGGCAAGUGCAUGUUCUGAGCCAGGGCCUCAGGAGGCCUGCAGCUGCCAUUCUGCUUCUCUUGGAACAUGACCUCCUUGAGAACACUCCCAGGCCUGACUGCAGGGUGGGGAGACCACACAGAGCAGAGCUGAGCCACCGGGAUGAGGCCCCUAGAUCACCCAGCUCCCAGCUGACCACAGAUCAUGAGUGAUCCCUUUCUCCCUAGGUCAAGGGUGAUGUUUUGCUCAGAGAAAACUGAAGUUUGGAUUGUUCCAGUCCUGCAUCACAUCCUGUUUCAGGCUGCCCUAAAACAAAACCAGAAACAACCACCACCACAAAACACCAUACCUUCAAUAGUCUUCUCAGUGUUCAGAAUAAAGGCUCUGGUUUUCCCUUGGG